rnacentral:miRNA from 1 species
CAGCAUAGCUCUGUAAUUUCGG